GGGACGUUAGCUCAGCCGGUAGAGCAGCGGACUUUUAAUCCGUUGGUCACAAGUUCGAAUCUUGUACGUCCUACCA
rnacentral:tRNA from 2 species